rnacentral:rRNA from 1 species
UACGGGAGGCAGCAGGGGGAAUAUUGCACAAUGGGCGCGAAGCCUGAUGCAGCCAUGCCGCGUGUAUGAAGAAGGCCUUCGGGUUGUAAAGUACUUUCAGUCGUGAGGAAGGUGUUAAGGUUAAUAACCUUAGCAAUUGACGUUAGCGACAGAAGAAGCACCGGCUAACUCCGUGCCAGCAGCCGCGGUAAUACGGAGGGUGCGAGCGUUAAUCGGAAUUACUGGGCGUAAAGGGCACGCAGGCGGUUAAUUAAGUUGGAUGUGAAAUCCCCGGGCUUAACCUGGGAAUGGCAUUCAAGACUGGUUAGCUAGAGUCUUGUAGAGGGGGUAGAAUUCCAUGUGUAGCGGUGAAAUGCGUAGAGAUGUGGAGGAAUACCGGUGGCGAAGGCGGCCCCUGGACAAAGACUGACGCUCAUGUGCGAAAGCGUGGGGAGCAAACAGGGAUUAGAUACC